rnacentral:rRNA from 1 species
GUGAGGAAUUUUCCGCAAUGGGCGAAAGCCUGACGGAGCAAUGCCGCGUGAAGGAUGAAGGCCUAUGGGUUGUAAACUUCUUUUCUCAGAAAAGAAUUAUGACGGUAUCUGAGGAAUAAGCAUCGGCUAACUCUGUGCCAGCAGCCGCGGUAAGACAGAGGAUGCAAGCGUUAUCCGGAAUGAUUGGGCGCAAAGCGUCUGUAGGUUGUUUAAAAAGUAUUCUGUCAAAGAUUAGGGCUUAACCCUAGAUAGGCAGAAUAAACUUUUAAGCUAGAGUUUGGUAGAGGCAGAGGGAAUUCCCGGUGGAGCGGUGAAAUGCGUAGAUAUCGGGAGGAACACCAAAGGCGAAGGCACUCUGCUGGGCCAAUACUAACACUGAGAGACGAAAGCGAGGGGAGCAAAUGGGAUUAGAUACCCCAGUAGUCC